rnacentral:rRNA from 1 species
UACGAGGGAUCCUAGCGUUGUUCGGAAUCAUUGGGCGUAAAGGGUGCGUAGGCGGCCAAGUAAGUCAGUUGUGAAAGCCCCGGGCUCAACCCGGGAAGUGCUUCUGAUACUGCUUGGCUUGAGUAUUGGAGAGGUGAGUGGAAUUCCAGGUGUAGUGGUGAAAUACGUAGAUAUCUGGAGGAACACCGGCGGCGAAGGCGGCUCACUGGCCAUAUACUGACGCUGAAGCACGAAAGCGUGGGGAUCAAACAGG